GACGAACGCUGGCGGCGUGCUUAACACAUGCAAGUCGAACGGAAAGGCCCUGCUUUUGUGGGGUGCUCGAGUGGCGAACGGGUGAGUAACACGUGAGUAACCUGCCCUUGACUUUGGGAUAACUUCAGGAAACUGGGGCUAAUACCGGAUAGGAGCUCCUGCUGCAUGGUGGGGGUUGGAAAGUUUCGGCGGUUGGGGAUGGACUCGCGGCUUAUCAGCUUGUUGGUUGGGUAGUGGCUUACCAAGGCUUUGAAGGGUAGCCGGCCUGAGAGGGUGACCGGGCACAAUGGGACUGAGAUACGGAGCAGACUCCAACGGGAGGCAGUAGUGGGGAAUAUUGCACAAUGGGCGGAAGCCUGAUGCAGAAACGCCGCGUGCGGGAUGACGGCCUUCGGGUUGUAAACCGCUUUAGCCUGUGACGAAGCGUGAGUGACGGUAAUGGGUAAAGAAGCACCGGCUAACUACGUG
rnacentral:rRNA from 1 species